rnacentral:rRNA from 1 species
GAAAGUCUGACGGAGCAACGCCGCGUGAGCGAAGAAGGUCUUCGGAUCGUAAAGCUCUGUUGUUAGGGAAGAACAAGUAUCGGAGGAAAUGCCGGUACCUUGACGGUACCUGACGAGAAAGCCACGGCUAACUACGUGCCAGCAGCCGCGGUAAUACGUAGGUGGCAAGCGUUGUCCGGAUUUAUUGGGCGUAAAGCGCGCGCAGGCGGUCCUUUAAGUCUGAUGUGAAAUCUUGCGGCUCAACCGCAAGCGGUCAUUGGAAACUGGGGGACUUGAGUGCAGAAGAGGAAAGCGGAAUUCCACGUGUAGCGGUGAAAUGCGUAGAGAUGUGGAGGAACACCAGUGGCGAAGGCGGCUUUCUGGUCUGUAACUGACGCUGAGGCGCGAAAGCGUGGGGAGCAAACAGGAUUAGAUACCCUGGUAGUCCACGCCGUAAACGAUGAGUGCUAAGUGUUGGAGGGUUUCCGCCCUUCAGUGCUGCAGCUAACGCAUUAAGCACUCCGCCUGGGGAGUACGGUCGCAAGACUGAAACUCAAAGGAAUUGACGG